rnacentral:rRNA from 1 species
CCUACGGGAGACAGCAGUGAGGAAUAUUGGUCAAUGGACGAGAGUCUGAACCAGCCAAGUAGCGUGAAGGAUGACUGCCCUAUGGGUUGUAAACUUCUUUUAUAAGGGAAUAAAACGAGGCACGUGUGCCUUUUUGCAUGUACUUUAUGAAUAAGGAUCGGCUAACUCCGUGCCAGCAGCCGCGGUAAUACGGAGGAUCCGAGCGUUAUCCGGAUUUAUUGGGUUUAAAGGGAGCGUAGAUGGGUUGUUAAGUCAGUUGUGAAAGUUUGCGGCUCAACCGUAAAAUUGCAAUUGAUACUGGCAGUCUUGAGUACAGGUGAGGUAGGCGGAAUUCGUGGUGUAGCGGUGAAAUGCUUAGAUAUCACGAAGAACCCCGAUUGCGAAGGCAGCAUACUAACCUGUGACUGACAUUGAUGCUCGAAAGUGUGGGUAUCAAACAGGAUUAGAUACCCCGGUAGUC